AAAGUUGAACGGCUUGUCGCGUGUAUUCACAGGCCUGUUAAGGGUUUGUGUGGUGCAGGAGGAAAGUCCGGGCAGCAUAGGGCAUUCCGCUUCUUAAUGGGAAGUCGUCCGUGAGGGUGAAUUAGUGCAGAAGAAAAUAACCGCUUGUCUGCCGAAUUAAGCGUUUCUCCUUUUAGGUUUGAAACCUUACAUUCGUUGUAGUUAUGAGUAAGGGUGAGAAGGUGAGGUAAGAGCUCACCAGUCGUGUGGUGACACACGGGCUGUGUACAUCGGAAGCUGAAAGUUCAUGUAUACCAACGUCAGAGGGCUGCUCGUCCGAGUUCCCGAUUUUAAUCGAGUGAGCACGUUGGAGGGUAGAACGAUAGAGCGUAUUGGCAACAAUGCGCGCGGAUAAAUGACAGGCACGACUUUUAGUCGUACAGAACCCGGCUUAUAGUUUGGCUUUUUCU
rfam:Prevotella sp. CAG:891 genomic scaffold, scf452